rnacentral:misc_RNA from 1 species
AAAAACAAGUGUAUUGGUAAAAUAAGCAAUAGAAAUAAUUUAUUGUUGUAUAUCUUCUGAUUAAUAAUCAAAAAGAGCUGUCGUAAAUACAACUUACAUUUCCGAAAUAAAAGUCUCUAUAAUCCCCUCCUUGGGAUGCUUCUAUGAGUGUAGACAAUAUGUACAUGUGUAUUCACCACAUGUACAGUGCUUCUAAAUGUAUUCACCAUGAAAAUAAGGGAGAUAA